GUAGGUGGCAAGCGUUGUCCGGAAUUAUUGGGCGUAAAGCGCGCGCAGGCGGUUCUUUAAGUCUGAUGUGAAAGCCCACGGCUCAACCGUGGAGGGUCAUUGGAAACUGGAGAACUUGAGUACAGAAGAGGAAAACGGAAUUCCACGUGUAGCGGUGAAAUGCGUAGAGAUGUGGAGGAACACCAGUGGCGAAGGCGGCUUUCUGGUCUGUAACUGACGCUGAGGCGCGAAAGCGUGGGGAGCAAACAGGGAUUAGAUACCCUGGUAGUCCACGCCGUAAACGAUGAGUGCUAAGUGUUAGGGGGUUUCCCGCCCCUUAGUGCUGCAGCUAACGCAUUAAGCACUCCGCCUGGGGGAUACGGCCGCAAGGCUG
rnacentral:rRNA from 1 species